GACGAACGCUGGCGGCGUGCUUAACACAUGCAAGUCGAACGGUAAGGCCCUUCGGGGUACACGAGUGGCGAACGGGUGAGUAACACGUGGGUGAUCUGCCCUGCACUUCGGGAUAAGCCUGGGAAACUGGGUCUAAUACCGGAUAGGACACUGCCUGCAUGGGUGGUGGUGGAAAGCUUUUGCGGUGUGGGAUGGGCCCGCGGCCUAUCAGCUUGUUGGUGGGGUGAUGGCCUACCAAGGCGACGACGGGUAGCCGGCCUGAGAGGGUGACCGGCCACACUGGGACUGAGAUACGGCCCAGACUCCUACGGGAGGCAGCAGUAGGGAAUAUUGCACAAUGGGCGCAAGCCUGAUGCAGCGACGCCGCGUGAGGGAUGACGGCCUUCGGGUUGUAAACCUCUUUCAGCACCGACGAAGCGCAAGUGACGGUAGGUGCAGAAGAAGGACCGGCCAACUACGUGCCAGCCGCCGCAGUAA
rnacentral:rRNA from 1 species